rnacentral:rRNA from 1 species
GACGAACGCUGGCGGCGUGCUUAACACAUGCAAGUCGAACGGAAAGGCCCUGCUUUUGUGGGGUGCUCGAGUGGCGAACGGGUGAGUAACACGUGAGUAACCUGCCCUUGACUUUGGGAUAACUUCAGGAAACUGGGGCUAAUACCGGAUAGGAGCUCCUGCUGCAUGGUGGGGGUUGGAAAGUUUCGGCGGUUGGGGAUGGACUCGCGGCUUAUCAGCUUGUUGGUGGGGUAGUGGCUAACCAAGGCUUUGACGGGUAGCCGGCCUGAGAGGGUGACCGGCCACAUUGGGACUGAGAUACGGCCCAGACUCCUACGGGAGGCAGCAGUGGGGAAGAAUGCACAAUGGGCGGAAGCCUGAUGCAGCAACGCCGCGUGCGGGAUGACGGCCUUCGGGUUGUAAACCGCUUUCGCUUGUGACGAAGCGUGAGUGACGGUAAUGGGUAAAGAAGCACCGGCUAACUACGUG